rnacentral:rRNA from 1 species
CAGGGCGCUACCAUGCAAGUCGAGCGAGAUCUUCGGAUCUAGCGGCGGACGGGUGAGUAACGCGUGGGAACGUACCCUCUUCUGCGGGAUAGCCACUGGAAACGGUGAGUAAUACCGCAUACGCCCUUCGGGGGAAAGAUUUAUCGGAGGAGGAUCGGCCCGCGUUGGAUUAGGUAGUUGGUGGGGUAAUGGCCUACCAAGCCUACGAUCCAUAGCUGGUUUUAGAGGAUGAUCAGCCACACUGGGACUGAGACACGGCCCAGACUCCUACGGGAGGCAGCAGUGGGGAAUCUUAGACAAUGGGCGCAAGCCUGAUCUAGCCAUGCCGCGUGAGUGACGAAGGCCUUAGGGUCGUAAAGCUCUUUCGCCUGUGAUGAUAAUGACAGUAGCAGGUAAAGAAACCCCGGCUAACUCCGUGCCAGCAGCCGCGGUAAUACGGAGGGGGUUAGCGUUGUUCGGAAUUACUGGGCGUAAAGCGCACGUAGGCGGAUUGGAAAGUAUGGGGUGAAAUCCCAGGGCUCAACCCUGGAACGGCCUCAUAAACUUCCAGUCUGGAGUUCGAGAGAGGUGAGUGGAAUUCCGAGUGUAGAGGUGAAAUUCGUAGAUAUUCGGAGGAACACCAGUGGCGAAGGCGGCUCACUGGCUCGAUACUGACGCUGAGGUGCGAAAGUGUGGGGAGCAAACAGGAUUAGAUACCCUGGUAGU